CCCGGUACAUCUAAUUUUUGUAUGCCUUGGUUAAGCUGUCCCUCCCCCUUGGUCCACAAAUUUAAAAUUUCAAAGUCUGAGUGCAUAUUUUUGGAAAUACAACAUUUGAAUUUUUCUUAUAUUUUCCCUAGAAAUUAUGUACAAUAACACAGUAAAUUUUUAGUAAAAUGUUCAAGAAAAAGGAACUUCCAACAGCAGCAGAUGACACAGUAAAUCUUUAGUAAAAUGUUCAAGGAAAAGGAACUUCCAACAGCAGCAGAUGACACAGCAAAUCUUUAGUAAAAUGUUCAAGGAAAAGGAUCUUCCAACAGCGGCAGAUAACACAAUGAAUUUUUACUCUUUCUAAUGCUAGAUGAUUUUGCUCAUCAAGGAGAGUCUUGCAACUUAAUAGGUUAAUGAAUCAAUUGGUUAUUACAACCGAUUUCAACUUAAUUCAUAUUUAACAUUUUAACCCAUUUACUGGCAGUACUCUACCACUGAUGAGUAAUUAAUCAUCUGGCAUUAGACAGACAUUUGGGCACAUUUACAUUGCCAGUACAUUGCCAGUUAAUGAGUUAAUAUUAACAACAUUAAAAACAGACUAGGAUUAGGGUGUCAAAGGUUAGGUGGAUGCUUCUUUGCCUGCAGGGGUGAAACUAGCCCAUUUCAAUUGGAGGGUGUCUGUUAGAAUUGCCCUGCGAAACGCGAUGAUGCCCUGCGGCAAAAAUUUGGGGGGGCGGCACUAUUUCUCCUAAAAAAGUUGGCAAGCCCUGGAAGCUACUUAAUAACAAUACAUUCUACCAUUUAAAACCUUCCAUUGCCCUGCCAAUCCAGAUGAUUUGCCCUGCCAAUCCAGCUUUGGGGGGGGGGGGGGUGACCCCCCACACACACACAACACACACACCCCUUCAAGUUUCAUCCAUAACAUGAUCAAUGUUAGAUUUCAG